ACCACCACCCUCUGAUGUCUGCCGAGACGCACACUUAAACGGGUCUCUGCCGAGGAGUUGAACAAACGGGUCACAAACUUGGAAAGAAAGAAAAGACGAAGAAGAAGAAGAAGAAAAAGAAAAAGAAGAAGGAAAAGAAAAGACCCCCCCCACCCUUUCCUCUUCGACUGCUUUAUUUAAGCCAGUGGGAAACUUCAGCCAAAGUAGCUUUGACACUGCUGGGGCCGGAGGGGAGGGGCGGCCGGGCCCCGCGGAUCAUCCAUCAUCCCUGUCACCCAGAGUCUGCCCGGAGGAGCCGCAGACGCAAUCUCCCUUCUGUCUCUACAGCGAAACUAUUAAUAUUAAAGCCUCCCUUCAAACAGCGCCCCGACGGCCUCCAUUCUCCUCGCAGCUGACCGGCUGCCCGGCCCGCGCCUCUCC